rnacentral:rRNA from 1 species
CUUAACGUUCGGGCCGCACGCGCGCUACACUGACGGAGCCAGCGAGUUACCUUGACCGAGAGGUCCGGGAAAUCUUGGAAACUCCGUCGUGCUGGGGAUAGAGCAUUGCAAUUUUUGCUCUUCAACGAGGAAUUCCUAGUAAGCGCAAGUCAUCAGCUUGCGUUGAUUACGUCCCUGCCCUUUGUACACACCGCCCGUCGCUACUACCGAUUGAAUGGUUUGGUGAGGCUUCCGGAGGCGUCGGGGGCGACCCCGAUGCCAAAGCUAGUCAAACCUAAUCAUUUAGAGGAAGUAAAAGUCGUAACAAGGUUUCCGUAGGUGAACCUGCGGAAGGAUCAUUAAAAAAAUUUCAUUUACACACUUGUCUUUUAUUAGAACACACACAACCCACUAUAAAUUUGUCAACAGCCAAUAUUAAAACCUCCAACAACGGAUCUCUUGGCUCUCGCACCGAUGAAGAACGCAGCAAACCGCGAUAGGUAGUAUGACCUGCCCUCGAAUCAUCGAAUCUUUGAACGCACAUUGCGCCCUCCGGCAUGCCAGGCUGAGCGUCCUUCUCCCUCACUUCGGUGGUGUUGGAUCGCUCCAAAAGUCCCAGUCCCGCAGGAAGAAAC